rnacentral:misc_RNA from 1 species
GGUACAAGAACACAAUCAUCCUCACAUUCUUCUAUUGCAAAUUGGGAACACAUUCUGCAAACUUCCAGGUGGACGUUUGAAACCAGGAGAGAACGAAAUCGAAGGUUUAAAAAGGAAACUGUCUAGUAAACUUGCAGCUAAUUCUCCUGGCAUUCAGCCAAAUUGGCAGGUAGGUGAGUGUGUGGCCAUCUGGUGGAGGCCAAAUUUUGAAACCAUAAUGUAUCCAUAUUGUCCUCCACACAUAACAAAACCCAAGGAGUGUAAGAAGCUCUUCGUUGUUCAUCUAUCUGAAAGAGAGUACUUCGCUGUCCCAAAAAAUCUGAAGCUUCUUGCGGUGCCAUUGUUUGAACUUUAUGACAAUGUUCAGAGAUAUGGACCUGUGAUAUCCACGAUUCCUCAACAGCUUUCCAGGUUCCAGUUCAACAUGAUCCACCCGUAGAUUAGGUUAGGUGGACAUUCAGAACCUCCUCCUGGCAUACAAUCCCAAAAAUACAUCAAUAUUUUUACUUUUCCAGUAGGCAUAUCUACCGAC